UCUCUCUCUCUCUCUCUCUCUCUCUGUGGUUCUUCUCGUGUUUUACAAUUUCAAGGAGUUUGUGGCCAGUUGUUGCCGAUGCUGAAUUGAGUAGAAUGGAACACAUAGUCUGGUCUGUUGUUGUUGUUGUUGAUUGUCUUAUGAGACCAUAAUGUUAGGAUUUUAGUAUAUCAAAUAAUUCAUUGUUGUAUCUGCUGUUGCUGAUUCAAUUCAAAAUGUGUUAAGCAAUUGAAGUAGUUUUGUCUCCCCCGUCCUCUC
rnacentral:misc_RNA from 1 species